rnacentral:misc_RNA from 1 species
AAUAUGAAUGUGCCUCUUCAACUGACUCUUUAGGUGCCUUGUUUUUUGGGAAAUGGUCAAAAUAAUCUUGCUUGCUAAAGCUCUGUUUGGUUUUGAUGGAAAAUGUUCCUUCACAAGAUUUUAGACCUCAUCUGUUAAAAUCUAGAUGAUUUUUCUGCAAUUAAACAGCAGAUUCUUAUUCUUUAAUUUGAGGAAAAGAAAUGCUGUUCUGAGUUGGAAAUGACACCCAUUUCAAUUUCCCUUUGCCAAAAGGGCAGAGUGUUCUUAAAUUUGAUCCCACUCCAAUAAAUUGUUACCAGAAGCAUAAAGAAAUACUAAUGGAAUAAGAUUUAAUUUCCCCUAAGCAAGUGAGGGACCAAAAAUAUGAAUGAAAUUAUAU